rnacentral:rRNA from 1 species
UACGAAGGGGGCUAGCGUUGCUCGGAAUCACUGGGCGUAAAGGGUGCGUAGGCGGGUCUUUAAGUCAGGGGUGAAAUCCUGGAGCUCAACUCCAGAACUGCCUUUGAUACUGGCAAUCUCGAGUCCGGGAGAGGUGAGUGGAACUGCGAGUGUAGAGGUGAAAUUCGUAGAUAUUCGCAAGAACACCAGUGGCGAAGGCGGCUCACUGGCCCGGUACUGACGCUGAGGUGCGAAAGCGUGGGGAGCAAACAGG